rnacentral:rRNA from 1 species
UGGGGAAUAUUGCACAAUGGGCGAAAGCCUGAUGCAGCGACGCCGCGUGAGGGAUGACGGCCUUCGGGUUGUAAACCUCUUUCAGCAGGGAAGAAGCGAAAGUGACGGUACCUGCAGAAGAAGCGCCGGCUAACUACGUGCCAGCAGCCGCGGUAAUACGUAGGGCGCAAGCGUUGUCCGGAAUUAUUGGGCGUAAAGAGCUCGUAGGCGGCUUGUCACGUCGGAUGUGAAAGCCCGGGGCUUAACCCCGGGUCUGCAUUCGAUACGGGCUAGCUAGAGUGUGGUAGGGGAGAUCGGAAUUCCUGGUGUAGCGGUGAAAUGCGCAGAUAUCAGGAGGAACACCGGUGGCGAAGGCGGAUCUCUGGGCCAUUACUGACGCUGAGGAGCGAAAGCGUGGGGAGCGAACAGG